rnacentral:lncRNA from 1 species
CACAUUGCAGUAUUUUCAAAGAAAUUCCCAAAGUAGCUUGUAGAAAUUCGUGCAGUUGCACGUUCUAGUGCAAGAAGACUGCAUAAUAUAAUUUCUUCUUUGCAAAUUAAAGAACAAGCCGGUCUGAAAAUAGCCACUUCGCCAAUAACAAUACGCAUCUUACAAAAAGUUCAUGUUUGUUUUGUUCGUAAUUGCAUGAUUUCUCUGCACUUGGAACUUUGAGUAUAUCAGGAUGUUUUGAUGCGCUUUUCUGCCAGAACUCUAAAAUUAGUGCUGCUAUUUGGCUUGGCAAAAACAGAGAGCACCCAAAGAGAGACAAGAGGGAGAGGCAACGAGCAAAUACCAGCAUGAGCGCAAUUUCCUAUCAGCAGAAGCACCGUGAGAAUACAUAGAAUAGUUUUCCCCUCCAUACGUCUGGGCUCUUGUUUGUGUAUUCUCUUUGGAUUCUGG